AUUGAACGCUGGCGGCAGGCCUAACACAUGCAAGUCGAGCGGAUGAGGAAAGCUUGCUUUUCGAUUCAGCGGCGGACGGGUGAGUAAUGCCUAGGAAUCUGCCUGUUAGUGGGGGAUAACUCGGGGAAACUCGGGCUAAUACCGCAUACGUCCUACGGGAGAAAGUGGGGGAUCUUCGGACCUCACGCUAACAGAUGAGCCUAGGUCGGAUUAGCUAGUAGGUGAGGUAAUGGCUCGCCUAGGCGACGAUCCGUAACUGGUCUGAGAGGGUGAUCAGACACACUGGAACUGAGACACGGUCCAGACUCCUACGGGAGGCAGCAGUGGGGAAUAUUGGACAAUGGGCGAAAGCCUGAUCCAGCCAUGCCGCGUGUGUGAAGAAGGUCUUCGGAUUGUAAAGCACUUUAAGUUGGGAGGAAGGGUAUUCACCUAAUACGUGGGUACUUUGACGUUACCAACAGAAUAAGCACCGGCUAACUCUGUGCCAGCCGCCGCAGUAAGAC
rnacentral:rRNA from 1 species